UAGAGUUUGAUCCUGGCUCAAGAUGAACGCUAGCUACAGGCUUAACACAUGCAAGUCGAGGGGCAUCAAGAAGAAAGCUUGCUUUCUUUGCUGGCGACCGGCGCACGGGUGAGUAACACGUAUCCAACCUGCCCUUUACUCGGGGAUAGCCUUUCAAAAGAAAGAUUAAUACCCGAUAGCAUAAUGAUUCCGCAUGGUUUCAUUAUUAAAGGAUUCCGGUAAAGGAUGGGGAUGCGUUCCAUUAGGUUGUUGGUGGGGUAACGGCCCACCAAGCCUUCGAUGGAUAGGGGUUCUGAGAGGAAGGUCCCCCACAUUGGAACUGAGACACGGUCCAAACUCCUACGGGAGGCAGCAGUGAGGAAUAUUGGUCAAUGGGCGCUAGCCUGAACCAGCCAAGUAGCGUGAAGGAUGAAGGCUCUAUGGGUCGUAAACUUCUUUUAUAUAAGAAUAAAGUGCAGUAUGUAUACUGUUUUGUAUGUAUUAUAUGAAUAAGGAUCGGCUAACUCCGUGCCAGCAGCCGCGGUAAUACGGAGGAUCCGAGCGUUAUCCGGAUUUAUUGGGUUUAAAGGGAGCGUAGGUGGACUGGUAAGUCAGUUGUGAAAGUUUGCGGCUCAACCGUAAAAUUGCAGUUGUUACUGUCAGUCUUGAGUACAGUAGAGGUGGGCGGAAUUCGUGGUGUAGCGGUGAAAUGCUUAGAUAUCGCGAAGAACUCCGAUUGCGAAGGCAGCUCACUGGACUGCAACUGACACUGAUGCUCGAAAGUGUGGGUAUCAAACAGGAUUAGAUACCCUGGUAGUCCACACAGUAAACGCUAAAGGGCGCUGUUUGCGAUAUACAGUAAGCGGCCAAGCGAAAGCAUUAAGUAUUCCACCUGGGGAGUACGCCGGCAACGGUGAAACUCAAAGGAAUUGACGGGGGCCCGCACAAGCGGAGGAACAUGUGGUUUAAUUCGAUGAUACGCGAGGAACCUUACCCGGGCUUAAAUUGCAGUGGAAUGAUGUGGAAACAUGUCAGUGAGCAAUCACCGCUGUGAAGGUGCUGCAUGGUUGUCGUCAGCUCGUGCCGUGAGGUGUCGGCUUAAGUGCCUUAACGAGCGCAACCCUUAUCUUCAGUUACUAACAGGUCAUGCUGAGGACUCUGGAGAGACUGCCGUCGUAAGAUGUGAGGAAGGUGGGGAUGACGUCAAAUCAGCACGGCCCUUACGUCCGGGGCUACACACGUGUUACAAUGGGGGGUACAGAAGGCAGCUAGCGGGUGACCGUAUGCUAAUCCCAAAAGCCUCUCUCAGUUCGGAUCGAAGUCUGCAACCCGACUUCGUGAAGCUGGAUUCGCUAGUAAUCGCGCAUCAGCCACGGCGCGGUGAAUACGUUCCCGGGCCUUGCACA
rnacentral:rRNA from 1 species